rnacentral:rRNA from 1 species
UACGUAGGGACCAAGCGUUGUUCGGAUUUACGUGGCGUAAAGGGCGCGUAGGCGGCGCGGUAAGUCACUUGUGGAAAUCUCUGAGCUUAACUCAGAACGGCCAAGUGAUACUGCAGUGCUAGAGUGUGGAAGGGCAAUCGGAAUUCUUGGUGUAGCGGUGAAAUGCGUAGAGAUCAGGAAGAACAUCGGUGGCGAAGGCGACUCUGCGUGGACCAUAACUG